rnacentral:rRNA from 1 species
UACGUAGGUGGCAAGCGUUGUCCGGAAUUAUUGGGCGUAAAGCGCGCGCGAGGCGGCCUCUUAAGUCUGAUGUGAAAGCCCCCCGGCUCAACCGGGGAAGGGCCAUUGGAAACUGGGAGGCUUGAGUAUAGGAGAGAAGGAGUGGAAUUCCACGUGUAGCGGUGAAAUGCGUUAGAGAUGUGGAGGAACACCAGUGGCGAAGGCGACUCUUUGGC